rnacentral:rRNA from 1 species
GGGGCACCGGUGACAGGUGGUGCAUGGUUGUCGUCAGCUCGUGUCGUGAGAUGUUGGGUUAAGUCCCGCAACGAGCGCAACCCUUACUGUUAGUUGCUACGCAAGAGCACUCUAGCAGGACCGCCGUUGACAAAACGGAGGAAGGUGGGGAUGAUGUCAAAUCAUCAUGCCCCUUAUGACCUGGGCCUCACACGUACUACAAUGGCCGUUAACAGAGGGAAGCAAGACCGCGAGGUGGAGCAAAACCCCAAAAACGGUCUCAGUUCGGAUCGUAGGCUGCAACCCGCCUGCGUGAAGUUGGAAUUGCUAGUAAUCGCGGAUCAGCAUGCCGCGGUGAAUACGUUCCCGGGCCUUGUACACACCGCCCGUCACACCAUGGGAGCCGGUAAUACCCGAAGUCAGUAGCCUAACCGCAAGGAGGGCGCUGCCGAAGGUAGGAUUGGCGACUGGGGUGAAGUCGUAACAAGGUAGCCGUAUCGGAAGGUGCGGUUGGAUCACCUC